rnacentral:rRNA from 1 species
UGAGUAACGCGUAUGCGACCUGCCCGUUGCAGGGGGGAUAAUCGGGAGAAAUCCCGUCUAAUACCGCGUAACGCCGCGGGGCUGCAUGGCCCUGCGGCCAAAGGGAGCGAUUCCGGCAACGGAUGGGCAUGCGUGACAUUAGCUAGUUGGCGGGGCAACGGCCCACCAAGGCGACGAUGUCUAGGGGUUCUGAGAGGAAGGUCCCCCACACUGGUACUGAGACACGGACCAGACUCCUACGGGAGGCAGCAG